UACAGAGGUCCCGAGCGUUGUUCGGAUUCAUUGGGCGUAAAGGGUGCGUAGGCGGUCUUCUAAGUUUGAUGUGAAAUCCCGGGGCUCAACCCUGGAAUUGCAUUGAAUACUGGAGGACUAGAGUACCGGAGAGGAAACUGGAAUUUACGGUGUAGCAGUGAAAUGCGUAGAUAUCGUGAGGAACACCAGUGGCGAAGGCGGCAUCCUGGCCUGUAACUGACGCUGAGACGCGAAAGCGUGGGGAGCAAACCGG
rnacentral:rRNA from 1 species